rnacentral:rRNA from 1 species
GGAUUUAUUGGGUUUAAAGGGAGCGUAGGUGGACUGGUAAGUCAGUUGUGAAAGUUUGCGGCUCAACCGUAAAAUUGCAGUUGAUACUGUCAGUCUUGAGUACGGUAGAGGUGGGCGGAAUUCGUGGUGUAGCGGUGAAAUGCUUAGAUAUCACGAAGAACUCCGAUUGCGAAGGCAGCUCACUGGACUGCAACUGACACUGAUGCUCGAAAGUGUGGGUAUCAAACAGGAUUAGAUACCCUGGUAGUCCACACAGUAAACGAUGAAUACUCGCUGUUUGCAAGGGCCAAGCGAAAGCAUUAAGUAUUCCACCUGGGGAGUACGCCGGCAACGGUGAAACUCAAAGGAAUUGACGGGGGCCCGCACAAGCGGAGGAACAUGUGGUUUAAUUCGAUGAUACGCGAGGAACCUUACCCGGGCUUAAAUUGAAGGUGCUGCAUGGUUGUCGUCAGCUCGUGCCGUGAGGUGUCGGCUUAAGUGCCAUAACGAGCGCAACCCUUAUCUUUAGUUACGACUCUAGAGAGACUGCCGUCGUAAGAUGGAGGAAGGUGGGGAUGACGUCAAAUCGGCACGGCCCUUA